rnacentral:rRNA from 1 species
GAUGAACGCUGGCGGCGUGCCUGAUACAUGCAAGUCGAGCGAACAGAUGAGGAGCUUGCUCCUCUGACGUUAGCGGCGGACGGGUGAGUAACACGUGGAUAACCUACCUAUAAGACUGGGAUAACUUCGGGAAACCGGAGCUAAUACCGGAUAAUAUAUUGAACCGCAUGGUUCAAUAGUGAAAGACGGUUUUGCUGUCACUUAUAGAUGGAUCCGCGCCGCAUUAGCUAGUUGGUAAAGUAACGGCUUACCAAGGCAACGAUGCGUAGCCGACCUGAGAGGGUGAUCGGCCACACUGGAACUGAGACACGGUCCAGACUCCUACGGGAGGCAGCAGUAGGGAAUCUUCCGCAAUGGGCGAAAGCCUGACGGAGCAACGCCGCGUGAGUGAUGAAGGUCUUCGGAUCGUAAAACUCUGUUAUUAGGGAAGAACAAAUGUGUAAGUAACUAUGCACGUCUUGACGGUACCUAAUCAGAAAGCCACGGCUAACUACGUG